rnacentral:sRNA from 1 species
GAUGCAACCGAGCUUCACUGCUUGCAUCAGGCAGGGGUCCCGGCGGCAGUGAGGGCUGGAAGGAGGUGGAACGGCCUCUGCAGAGAUGUGGGCAGCUGGUCAGGAUGGCCAUUCGGGCUCAGCACAGCAACGCAGCCCAGACUCAGACUGGGGAAGCAAACAGGGGCUGGACAGGCCAGGAGAGCCUGUCGGACAGUGAUCCUGAGAUGUGGGAGUUGCUGCAGAGGGAGAAGGACAGGCAGUGUCGUGGCCUGGAGCUCAUUGCCUCAGAGGUGGGACCUGGGGAGAUGGGCAGGGGUUGGGCCACCAUGGGUACAGGAAGUAACAAAGUUAUCUUAACUGAUAUUUCUCCAAAACCCCCUUUCACACUCAGGACCUUUCUUUGGGCUUUAUCUUCCUUUCUUAUCUCCCUCAAGCAAAGGCAGUGCAAGUCCAGUUUAUGGGGUUGGGACAUUUA